GGCUUAUUCUCCUCAGCGCAGGAUGGAAAACUCAAGAUGGAAGUUUGGUAGUUCAAGGCGAUCGUACCUUGAAAACUGCACAGCGUGAUUUAAGGGUUAAAACACAAUUUCGCCUGCACCGCAAGGUGUGAGGGGGAUUGCGACACGAACGUGAAGCGCAGCUGAGCGUUCGUGAUGACUCUUAGGAUGUCUCAAAAAAUGGAAGACCAAAAGAA
rnacentral:misc_RNA from 1 species